UAUAUACUUCCUCCGUUCGAAAUUACUUGUCUUGAAAAUGAAUGUAUCUAAAAUUAAAAUACGUCUAGAUACAUCCAUUUCCGUGACAAGUAAUUCCAAACGAAGGGAGUACGUC
rnacentral:pre_miRNA from 1 species